GAAGGUUUUGUAGCUCAGGAGCAGUGCCAAGGCUGGGCUGGCUCUGCGCCUCAGCGUGGGCACUGCUCCAGACCUAAUAAACCCUG
rnacentral:pre_miRNA from 1 species